rnacentral:misc_RNA from 1 species
CCAAGCGAAGUUGGGGGUUCGCGUGCGGUGCAAGCAAGUGCAGCGGGAGGUCGGUGCGGUGCGGUUUUCUCCAACCGUGCCCCACCACCGCCCUUCUUGCUCCACCCCCCGCGUUCCUCCGUCUUCGAAAAACCCCCACCCUUGAACACCUCUCUAUAGUUGCCUCGGCGGAUCCGUCCGCCAGAGGACCCGAACCAAACUACUGCUGUGAAACCUGUCGUCUGAGCUUUCUAAGCAAUUGUUA